rnacentral:tRNA from 1 species
CGCAGGAUAGAGCAGUUGGCAACUCGUCGGGCUCAUAACCCGGAGGUCGUAGGUUCAAGUCCUACUCCUGCUA